ensembl:lncRNA
GACGGUAUGUUGAAGAUGUUUGUUUUUUAUUCAGUUGGGAAACAUAUCACGAUAAAACACUAUUAACAUAAGAUUUCAAUUAGACAUUAUUACAACCAUUUGAGCAUUUAGUUACAGUUGGUGUCCACACAGACACACACAUGGUUCCAUAACACAGCCAUCGUGUCCUCAGCUUAGAUCAUAACAACAGAAAGGUCACUUUAAUUCUCUAUUUAAAAACAUUGUAACAGCAGGCAGAACACUGUCGUACAAUAACAGGUUAUCUUUACCGGAAGGUUCAGAUACAUUUCUAACAGGGUUUAAUAAGGAGAAAACAUUCAGAGAGGAGGAAGAGGGGUUUAAUAAGGAGAAAACAUUCAGAGAGGAGGAAGAGGGGUUUAAUAAGGAGAAAACAUUCAGAGAGGAGGAAGAGGGGUUUAAUAAGGAGAAAACAUUCAGAGAGGAGGAAGAGGGGUUUAAUAAGGAGAAAACAUUCAGAGAGGAGGAAGAGGGGUUUAAUAAGGAGAAAACAUUCAGAGAGGAGGAAGAGGGGUUAAUAAGGAGAAAACAUUCAGAGAGGAGGAAGAGGGGUUUAAUAAGGAGAAAACAUUCAGGGAGGAGGAAGAGGGGUUUAAUAAGGAGAAAACAUUCAGAGAGGAGGAAGAGGGGUUUAAUAAGGAGAAAACAUUCAGAGAGGAGGAAGAGGGGGGGGGGUAUGUUUAACAUGUGCCUCAGAAUUGGGACAGAAGUGGGGUAUGUUUUAAAAUGGCACCCUUCUCUCCCUACAUAUUGCAGUACUUUUAAACAGAGCCCUAUGGGCUCUAGUCAAAAGUAGUGUACUACUGUAUAUAGGGAAUAGGGUGUGAUUUGGGACACAACGUGGAACUACUGUAUAUAGGGAAUAGGGUGUGAUUUGGGACGUGGAACUACUGUAUAUAGGGAAUAGGGUGUGAUUUGGGACACAGCCGUGGAACUACUGUAUAUAGGGAAUAGGGUGUGAUUUGGGACGUGGAACUACUGUAUAUAGGGAAUAGGGUGUGAUUUGGGACGUGGACCUACUGUAUAUAGGGAAUAGGGUGUGAUUUGGGACGUGGACCUACUGUAUAUAGGGAAUAGGGUGUGAUUUGGGACGUGGACCUACUGUAUAUAGGGAAUAGGGUGUGAUUUGGGAUACACAGUGGAACUACUGUAUAUAGGGAAUAGGGUGUGAUUUGGUAUACA